rnacentral:rRNA from 1 species
AACGAACGCUGGCGGCAGGCCUAACACAUGCAAGUCGAGCGAGCAUUUCGGUGCUAGCGGCGGACGGGUGAGUAGCGCGUGGGAACGUGCCCUUUUCUGCGGAAUAGUCCUGGGAAACUGGGGAUAAUACCGCAUACGCCCUUUUGGGGAAAGAUUUAUCGGAGAAGUAUCGGCCCGCGUUGGAUUAGGUAGUUGGUGGGGUAAUGGCCCACCAAGCCGACGAUCCAUAGCUGGUUUGAGAGGAUGAUCAGCCACACUGGGACUGAGACACGGCCCAGACUCCUACGCGAGGCAGCAGUGGGGAAUCUUAGAAAACGGCGGCAGCGCUGAUCUAGCCAUGCCGCGUGAGUGAUGAAGGCCUUAGGGUUGUAAAGCUCUUUCAGCUGGGAAGAUAAUGACGGUACCAGCAGAAGAAGCCCCGGCUAACUCCGUG